rnacentral:rRNA from 1 species
UACAGAGGCCUCGAGCGUUAGGCGGAAUCACUGGGCUUAAAGCGUGUGUAGGCGGAUUGCUAAGUACCUUGUGAAAUCCCUCAGCUUAACUGGGGAACUGCGUCUGAUACUGGAUGGCUUGGAUUCGGGAGAGGAAUGCGGAAUUCCAGGUGUAGCGGUGAAAUGCGUAGAUAUCUGGAGGAACACCGGUGGCGAAGGCGGCAUUCUGGACCGACAUUGACGCUGAGGAGCGAAAGCCAGGGGAGCAAACGGG